AUACGAAGGGGGCUAGCGUUGUUCGGAAUUACUGGGCGUAAAGCGCGCGUAGGCGGACUGAUCAGUUAGGGGUGAAAUCCCAGGGCUUAACCCUGGAACUGCCUUCAAUACUGUCAGUCUAGAGUUUGGGAGAGGUGAGUGGAAUUCCUAGUGUAGAGGUGAAAUUCAUAGAUAUUAGGAGGAACACCAGUGGCGAAGGCGGCUCACUGGCCCAUUACUGACGCUGAGGUACGAAAGCGUGGGGAGCAAACAGGAUUAGAAACCCUAGUAGUCC
rnacentral:rRNA from 1 species